UACGUAGGCAGCGAGCGUUGUUCGGAGUUACUGGGCGUAAAGGGUGUGUAGGCGGUUAUUUAAGUUUGGUGUGAAAUCUCCCGGCUCAACCGGGAGGGUGCGCCGAAUACUGAAUGACUUGGAGUGCGGGAGAGGUGAGUGGAAUUCCUGGUGUAGCGGUGAAAUGCGUAGAUAUCUGGAGGAACACCGGUGGCGAAGGCGGCAUCCUGGACCGGCAUUGACGCUGAGGCGCGAAAGCCAGGGGAGCAAACGGG
rnacentral:rRNA from 1 species